GUUAUGUACCUAGUGUGCUCUAGCGAUUUACCUAAUUUUCCUACUUAAAAACUAAACUAAAUUAAUACAGCCUAGCCUAAAAGUAAUUAAGUGGUUAAGAGCUAAAAUUUAUUGAUUAAUAGCCUAGAGAAAACAGUUAAAAUACUCGCUCAUACUUCCAGAUAGUGCGAACUUAAAAGUAGAUACUAUCUUUGAAACUACGGGAACAUGCGUAAAAUUAACUAAACCUAAGACAAACACAUUUAGAACAGCAUUCCCAUCACCGAUCUAUAAGCUAAACGAAUAAGGAAAACGAACACAAUCGAGGCACUAAACGUA